CGCUGGCGGCGUGCCUAACACAUGCAAGUCGAACGGACUGUAGCAAUACAGUUAGUGGCAGACGGGUGAGUAACGCGUAGAUAACGUGCCCCUCCGCUGGGGAUAGCCACUGGAAACGGUGGGUAAAACCGAAUAUUCUUGUCUGGGGACAUCCCUGGAGAAGGAAAUCUUUCGAGAGCGGAGGGAGCGGUUUGCGUCCUAUUAGCUAGUUGGUAAGGUAAAAGCUUACCAAGGCGACGAUGGGUAGCCGGUCUGAGAGGAUGAUCGGCCACACUGGCACUGAGAUACGGGCCAGACUCUUACGGGAGGCAGCAGUGAGGGAUUUUGCGCAAUGGAGGAAACUCUGACGCAGCGACGCCGCGUGCGGGACGAAGCCUUUCGGGGUGUNAACCGCUGUCAGUGGAGAAGANAAUGGACGGUACCCACUGAGGAAGCCUCGGCUAACUACGUGCCAGCAGCCGCGGUAAGACGU
rnacentral:rRNA from 1 species